rnacentral:tRNA from 1 species
UUAAUUGAAGUCAAAAAGAGACAUAUUACUGUUAAUAAUAUAAUUGAAAUUAAUUCCAAUUAAAA